ensembl:lncRNA
CUGUGGCUGAUUCAAUGUAUGGCAAAACCACCAUAAUAUUGUAAUUAGCCUCCAAUUAAAUGAAUAAAAAAUUCCAAUACUAAAUUUGAUUUUCAGAAAUGAACAAAAUUAGGUCUUACCUUAUCUGUUCUAGACCUUAUUGUCACAAAAUUACAGCUCAGUCUCAAAUAGAUUGUCCAGUGCACUGUGUGAAACCUUGAAAUAAGGCUGUGGAAUUCAGUGUGGAACUGAAUUUUAUUAUUAUUGUUUGUUUUGGCCGUGCUGCGCAGCUUGCAAGAUCUUUGUUCCCCAAUGAGGGAUCACACCUGCACCCCCUACAGUGGAAGUGUGGAUCCCUAAGCACUGGACCACCAGGAAAUUGUCUUUAUUUGAUUUUAACAAAUCACAUUUAAAUGAUCACAUGUGGCUAGUGGCUAGCAUAUACUGGACAGUUCAGGUCCAGAGCUGAUGAUCUUGGAGUUGGAAUGUAAGUUCUAGUUGAUGUAUCUACUACAUGGAAAUUUUUUCUUUCUCCUUUUUUUUUAUUCAUUUAUAUCAGUAUGGACACAUGGAUUUCUGUACUUGAAAGUGGGCAUUAUUUUUCUUUAUUAUUGAUUUUGAUGCUCAAAUUGUCCCAGAUUUGAACCAUGGAAACCUCAUUCAGGUUUCUUCUGUGUCCUUUGACAUGUCUCCAUCAUUUUUCCUGGAUCAUUCAUUCUAGAACUAGACAUUAUAGCCUCCUUAUGAGCUUGCCCUGCUGUAAUUCCUCUGGAGUCAUCCUUUUCUCCAAGGACCUCUAGUUCCUCCAUCCAUCCAGUGGAGAAUGCUAUUUGGAAACCAGAUCUGGUUGCCUGGUAGGCUUGUAGCUGCUGGACCAGCACAGCUUCUAUGCUCUGUAAGCUGACAAGGGAUUUUUACAGAUUUUACAGAGCCUGGUGGCUGUUAUAUUGGGCAGUACAGAUAAACAGAUAUUUCUGUCAUUGCGAAAAAGAAAAAGAUCGGGGUACUAGAAUUUUAAGAGUUCAGAGACUCCUGCUUCCCUGGGCCUACCCCAGCACAGUUGGUACUUGGCGUCUGGGGAUAUAGCUGGUUGGUGAUGAGAACGCCAGAGCGAUUGAUGCUAGAACCCCUCUGCUGGUGGAGGAAUACUCUGUCUCCCUCUCGAACCUCCCAUUGGCAGAUGUAAACCAGGAGCCAGCUGCCAAGGGGAUAUGAACGUUGCAGACCCCAGACCCUAGACCAUUGUUCCUCAGCCUCAGCACCAUUACAUCUUGGGCCAGGUGGCUGUCUCGUGCUUCAUAGGAUGUUUAGUAACAUCCCUGGCCUUUACCCACUUGAUUCUAGUACACACCCCACACCCAAAUGUUUCCAUAUGUGGCCAGAUAUCCCCUGGGGGAGCAAAAUGACCCCAUCGAGGACAACCUCCUGGGCCAGCAUUGUAGGAAACAAUAUAGAAGGGGAGGCUUGGAGCUGAGAAGCAGUAGUACUGACCAGCAGCCUAUUCUACUUCACAUAACUCUGGAAUGUGAAGGAGGGGAAGAGAAGUUAACCCUCACGUGCUUGUUACAAUCCUGCAAUACAGAGAUUGGUAUGUGCUUUUUUUCUUCUGGUUAAUGAGGAAAGCAAAGACCAGUUAAGUAGUUUCAGGCAGGAUUCACAUCCUUGCUGAUAAAGUUAUUUAUUUACAUCCUCUUGAAGUUUGCACUUGAGUUUUUAGCUUGUAAGGCUAUGCCUUAUUGCCAUCCUUUUUAAGUGGAGGAACCGUUCUUUUGAGUGUUGUAUUUUCAAGUCAUUAUGGGUAUAUUGUCAUCUGGGUACAUCUUCUGAAUGUUGCCCUACCAGAGUCAUGCUCAGAACCACGGCUAAAAAUGUUCACAAGUGGAGGGAAGAAGAAACAUGAAUAUUUGUGAGGGAGUUUUCUAGUGGUCCAGUGAUAAUGCUGUCUCACUGCCGAGGGCCUGGGUUCUAUCCCUGGUCAGGGAACUAAAAUGCCAUGAGCAGCACGGCACAGCCAAAAAAAAUCUAUGGUAAAGCCAGUGUUUGGUUUUUUAGUUUUGGGUACUUUGAGUAAUAGUUAACUUGGUUUCCUAGAGAGCUGCUUCAAACUGUGCAGGCACUGCUUAUUGUUCUCAUUUGCUUUUAUGCUUAGUCCUUUUCUGUCUUCUGUUCCAUACGGUUGUGUAUCACUCUCCAUAACAGAAAGACAUGUCCUCUCUCAAAAGAAAUCUCCCAAAGAUCAGCCUAACAGUUUAUAGUAUCUUUCCUGUCUCAUCACCGCCUCAGAUCCAAAGUUAGGCUAGUGUGUGUUCUAAGCCAGUGACUUGAUUCUUGUCUUAAGCUAUGCAUGGGUUUCUGAGAAUGGAUUUAGAGUAACUGCUCUGCGUGGAAGAAACGUGGAACAAAGGGACCUGAAGUUGUUCCUUGGCGUUUUGAGGACAAGGUGCUCAGGGCCUGCCUGCCAUGAGCCUUGUGUCAGGGUGCUGCUGACGAUGGGGCUCUGUUGGACCCUCUCACCAGAACAGGUCAUCUUGUGUUGCUCUUAUCUGUUGAUGUGUUCCCAAAGUUCUCUGCCACUCACUCUUCAUACUGUAUUUUAAUUGCCUGUUUACUUGUCUUCCCUUUUAAACUUCAGGCACUAAAUGAGUACUGUAGGUGCUCAGAAACUUAUGUUCAUUGAGAUAAUGUUGUUAUGGUAAUUUAAUGUGAAAUUAUCUCCUAAUAUCCAUGGAGGACAAAUCCUUUACACUCUAGUAGAGCUGACACAUACAGACUGGGAAUUUAUCACAAAUAAGUAUGCAGACAUUUCUAGCUCAAAUAACCAUUAAGUAGUAUGUUUUCUGCUCCCUCCCUAUUCAUCUAGUGGUUUUCUAGUAAUUCCUCAAGCUUACCCUAAAACAGUUGCAGAAAAUCAGAUUUAAAGGGUUUAAACUGUUUUACCCAAGGCGGGGGGCACAAAUCCCAUUAAGCAUGUCUCACCCUUUAGUUGUGACAUUCUUCUCUCUAGCAAAUAUGUGUAGUCUGUCUUUCCAGGAAAGGCAGAGAGUCCCCUACUGCUCCUUGUACUGUGUGUGACAGGAAGGCUUUCUGAAUGGCAGCUUGCCUCGUUGUCACUGCCCUCUAGUAGGCUUUCCGUGUUGUCUGUGUGGGGUCCAGCAUGCCCAGAUGAUGCACUGUGCUUGGGAGAAGUCAUUCUGUGAACACUUGGCUUGAAACUCAGUGAUGAGUUUAUACUUCAGCAAAAAUUAACACGUAUGGGAUACAGAAUCCAUCUCUGGGGCCAAAAAGACACUAGUUGUAUUCUGUAAUUGCACUGAGUCAACUGUUUUACCCAUUUAUACCUCAGUGUAAAACCAACCAUCCUGACACCUUCUAUGCUCCUGUACAAGUUGAGAUGGGA